CGCCUGGGGAGUACGGUCGCAAGAUUGGAACUCAAAGGAAUUGACGGGAGCCUACACGAGUGGUGGAGCAUGUGGUUUAAUGCGAUAAUCCGCGCAAAACCUUACCAAUUCUUGACAUAUGAAAAAGAUUUAUGUUGAUUAAAAAUUUAACUAUUUUUCAAUACAGGUGUUGCACGACUGUCGUCAGCUCGUGUCGUGAGAUGUUGGGUUAAGUCCCGCAACGAGCGCAACCCUUGUUUUUAGUUGCCUUAGGAACUCUAAAAAGACUGCUGGUUAUAAACCGGAGGAAGGUGGGGAUGACGUCAAGUCAGCAUGCCCCUUACACCCUGGGCUACACACGUGCUACAUUGGGCGAGACAAUGAGAUGCAAAUCUGCGAAGAUAGCUAAUCUAUAAACUCGUUCUAAGUUCGGAUUGUAGGCUGCACUCGCUACAUGAGGUGGAUCGCUAGUAUCGCUGGUCAGUACACAGCGUGAUUCGUCCCGGGCUUGACACACGCCCGUC
rnacentral:rRNA from 1 species